rnacentral:rRNA from 1 species
UACGGGGGGGGCAAGCGUUGUUCGGAAUUACUGGGCGUAAAGGGUGCGUAGGUGGUGAGGUAAGUCGGAUGUGAAAGCUCGGAGCUCAACUCCGAAAUGGCAUUGGAAACUACCUUGCUCGAGGGUUGGAGGGGGGACUGGAAUGCUUGGUGUAGCAGUGAAAUGCGUAGAUAUCAAGCGGAACACCAGUGGCGAAGGCGAGUCCCUGGACAACUCCUGACACUGAGGCACGAAAGCUAGGGGAGCAAACAGG